GACGUGGGGCUGAUGGAGCCAAUCACCAGGUGGAGCGGCUUCUCCAGGUUAACCUUACCUGAGAGAAAACAUGAAGGAACCGUCAGAUGUCCUGGAAACCCUUCAGGCCCAGUUUAGAGCGUCCAGCUAACACACCUGUACAGUGUUUCUUCACAUCGUUGGCUGGGAUCGGCUGCACGGCCACCAGGUGUGAGUUAAACCAGUAAGACAGGAGUGGAGUCUGGUUACGAAAACAGUGGGUGAUGAGAAACGUGGAUCAGGUUAAAGUCCCCCCAGUGAGCUGAUGUGUAUCGGGACGUGUUAGCGUCAGGGUCAUGAUGUGUGAAGCGUGAACACCUCCAGCGGGAACACAAACAUGUGAGGACUCCUCGGUGGAAGCCAUGAGGGCGAUGAUGUCAUGGCGGCGCGCCGCAGAUGGACAGAGGGCAGGAACGCAAAUGUAAACGUUUUCAGAUGAAGGUUCUGUGUUGAAAGACGUUAAACAUGUGAAAACAUUCAUCUGAUUUCAGUCCAGAUUAAACUGCUGCUGCUUUUCCUCCAGACACAGACUUCAUAACUGUUUCUAUUCAGUGUUUAUUUACCGUCGGUCUCGUGCGCAUCGUGCACCGCAGGUCGGCUCGUCAAAGAGCAGAACGUUUAAAAACAAAUGAGAAUUAAUUCAGAAUAAAGAGGAAGGAUCUACAAAACUUUAGUUACAUUAAAUUAGUUGUAAUUCAUCUCUAGGGUUUUGUUUUAACUCUCAAAUUGAGACAAACUCACUAAAACCUCUAAUUAUCCUCCACAUGGACAAUAGAGCUACGGACGUCACGCGACUCUCAAAGAGUGGACGCCAUGUUGGCAGGCAACAAAGGUAAACAAAAUGAACGGGAUUGGCUUGGAUUUUACUCCGUCGGAGUUUACUUCACACUUUAAACCCGAAGAAAUUGUUUUAUUUAGUCAGAAAUUAAAUAGACUAAACAUCUCUGACCCUUACUGUGCCCCUGGGAUACUUUUAAAAAACGCCAGAAGCUGUCGGAGCGGACCUCUUAAGCUGGGCGUACACUGUGCGACUUUUUCACUUUUUUGAGCCGAUUUUCCACUCGUGCGAGAAUCCACAAGAUCGGGGCGAGUUUUGCGCUGAGUGUCGUGUAGUGUACAGGGAGGCGAUUAACACCACGUGACCAGCUACCGAUCAGCAAUCGUGAGCUCGCACGAACUUCUGGCGUGUUUGAUAUUUUGCUCGUCCCUAGUGAGGGUAUCGCACUGUUGAAGCGGCGCUGCGAGCAGCUGCGACCCAAAAAGUACCAGAACCGCUCACGGCGCAUGCACAAUCAUGCAUCAACACCGCUAUUUCCCUAAUAACACAUGAUGUUCGUUUUUAUUUCUACACGUUUUUUUUACUCACAAAGAUUGUCAAGAAAGCGUGUUUGUCGUGUUCAUGUCAAAUUAAACUGAUCACAAAACACAGAUUUACUUUCUUUAUUUCGUUUUCCUCAUCCAACCCCCAUAAAUCUCUGUGUGUCCUCCUGCAGCACUCCCGAAGGACAACAGGCACAACAACACAAAAAAGUCUGACGUGUUGAGUAAAAACUGCUAUUUUUAGCAUAUUUUUUAGGUCCGACGUGUUGCUACCAGACGUACAGUGUGAGCAGUCAGAUCGCAUCCGAGAACUGGGUCGUACAGUGAGAGCGCCUGGCUCGUGAGAUCUGCCCUGCGAGGAAGUCGUACAGUUUGAGCUGAAGCUGAGUGCUACGAGUGAAAAAGUCACACAGUGUACGCCCGGCUUUACCGGAUUUGAGAUGUCCUGACAUUUAUAAUUUAUAAAACUAAUUAAACAAAAACACAAAUAACAUAGAUUUACAUGUAAGGAGUUUAAAUAGAGUGCUGUACUGUUUGAAUGUAUAAACUGAACGCCAAUAGAAAUCACUAGUCUGAUUUUUUAUCCGUGAAGAAAAUAAAUAUGUCAGGCAGGAGCGUCUCAGGAUCUGUCUGAGAUCCGUCUCGGUGAGACAGAUAACAGCAAUCCAAAGUGCUUUUUAUGUGUGAUCUGAUUAAAUACAGCUUAGCCGGUUAAUUGCUGUGAUCAUAAAACACGUAAACGACAGCACGCAGAAAUCAUGAGGCAAUGUUUUACGUGAUGUUUACUUGUUGCUAUGAGUAAUAAGACAGAAAACGCCACGCCAAAAUAAGUUUAGGAAGCCCACUAAGAAUCGUAAUAAAAGCAUUUAAAAAUAAAUACCACACACAGUUGAGGAAACGUUGGUUUAAGUACCUGAUAUGAAGUGGUCACUGCAUAAGCAAAAACCUUUGCUCUCGGGAUCCCACAGUUUCAUUUUAGCCCGGUCUCUAGUGCGUUUUAUUACAAUGAUCCAACGUUUGCGGCGCUCCGGAUCUUGGGGAAUCCUGUAGAUGGCUCAUUCCUUAUGUCGUCCCCGUCUGUUCUGCAUCCUGGGGCACAACAGGAAUCUACCAUAUUUCCUGUCUGAUUGAGUUUUCUGACAAUAACGAAUAGUCCAGCUGCGGGCUUCUGCCUGCCAAGAUGGCGCCGUUUUGAUUUGAACUGUUGCAUGCCGGGAGAAGUGACGUCAACUCCCGGAGCUCUGUAGGAUUCUGUAGCCCCGCCCCCUCUGGAGCUCAUGUAGAGUUCUUCAGAGGUUAACCAGGUGACAGUGCUCUAGGACCGAUAAGAGUCCUUGCAGAUCCCCCCACAGUCCAGAGAACUACUGGUGGUUACCGCAGUGACCUGGAUGAGACACUGGCAGCAGCUUUAACAUUUCUGUUGAUCCUGGUUGUCUUUACUUUUCUUAUACAUCAAACCUAAACUAUGUUGUCAGUCUGAGCCUCGUCUCUCUUUGCUGAUUGUGUUUUUUCUGAAUUUAAAGUUGAGCUGUGAAUGCCCUUGCACCCCAUUAAAACGAUUGUUUUCAUCCAAUCAGAUGCAUUUAAAUGCAUGUUUAGUGUGACUUCACCAUCCAUGGAAAAUCCAUGGAGCUCAGAGCUGCACUCCUCAGUGUCUAGAGUGGAUACAAGCUCCACUUCAGUUAGUAGUCCUCUCUGGAGACCUAUUGAAAUGACAGAUGAGUGUGGAGCAGCAGCUGCAGCUCAGCCGGGUAUUUUAUUUAUGAUCAGACAAUAACACGUUAAACACAGCCUGUGCUUCUAAUCAAUAAUCCAGCCCAUAAAGGUUUAAUUAGGCUCUGAUUUAUUUGUGUGAAGCUGUUUUUUUCAGCAUCUGGAAGCCCUGUCUUUAGUCUCCGUAAAGGAUUUCAGACACAGAUUCUUGUUUUAUUUCAAAUAAAUAUCCUCAAACUGUUUAUUAGAGAGAUUUAUAGU